AUCUCAUCAAAGGCCAACAUGAAGACAAGUGCAGUCUUGGUUCUGGUGGCCUUCAUCACCCUGGGGAUGGAGAUGGCCUGCGGGCGAGAAAGACCUGGAGUCUGCCCUAAGGUGCCUAAAGGAGUCUUUGGGACUUGUGUUGAAGCAUGCUCAGGAGAUGAAUCGUGUCCGAAAGGAAUGAAAUGCUGCAGCAAUGGAUGUGGUCAUGUCUGCAAAUAUCCCAUCCUCCAACGUGCCUCUGGUGGCCGUGUGAAAGAUGGACUGGACAUUUCUUAAGCGUGUCUGGAGACCAGCCCCAGAAGAUUUCUCAUGAAUCUGUGAAUCUGAUGCUUUGCAUAACAAGACUCUUCCACAAUCCAUUCCUGGCUACUCCUUAACCCUGGAAUUGCAGCCCUAGAAGACAAAGAUCUAAAAUGGUGAAGUAAUUCCUUUCUAAAAAGUUUCUGUCCAAAAUAAACUUUAU